GACGAACGCUGGCGGCGUGCUUAACACAUGCAAGUCGAACGGAAAGGCCCUGCUUUUGUGGGGUGCUCGAGUGGCGAACGGGUGAGUAACACGUGAGUAACCUGCCCUUGACUUUGGGAUAACUUCAGGAAACUGGGGCUAAUACCGGAUAGGAGCUCCUGCUGCAUGGUGGGGGUUGGAAAGAUUCGGCGGUUGGGGAUGGACUCGCGGCUUAUCAGCUUGUUGGUGGGGUAGUGGCUUACCAAGGCUUUGACGGGUAGCCGGCCUGAGAGGGUGACCGGCCACAUUGGGACUGAGAUACGGCCCAGACUCCUACAGGAGGCAGCAGUGGGGAAUAUUGCACAAUGGGCGGAAGCCUGAUGCAGCAACGCCGCGUGCGGGAUGACGGCCUUCGGGUUGUAAACCGCUUUCGCCUGUGACGAAGCGUGAGUGACGGUAAUGGGUAAAGAAGCACCGGCUAACUACGUG
rnacentral:rRNA from 1 species